GUUAACAUGUCGGUGCCGAUUGUGCUCGCCAUCGACGAUUUGCAGAAGCAGCGGAUCGGGGAGUCCAAAAGGGUCGCCCUCGUUGACUCUGAUGAUAAUACCGUUGCGAUUUUGAGCGAUAUUGAGAUCUACAAGCACCCCAAGGAAGAACGGAUUGCAAGAACAUGGGGAACUACUGCCCCUGGUCUACCUUAUGUUGAAGAAGCUAUA
rnacentral:misc_RNA from 1 species